rfam:Thermacetogenium phaeum DSM 12270, complete genome.
UAACCCGUGGCGAAAGGCGCGGCUGAGCCGGCAGGAGUCAGCAGAGGGCAUAGUACCCUGGGGGACAUGAACUCCAGGGGAAGGCC